UACGAAGGGGGCUAGCGUUGUUCGGAAUCACUGGGCGUAAAGCGCACGUAGGCGGACUUUUAAGUCAGGGGUGAAAUCCCGGGGCUCAACCUCGGAACUGCCUUUGAUACUGGGAGUCUUGAGGCCGAGAGAGGUGAGUGGAAUUCCGAGUGUAGAGGUGAAAUUCGUAGAUAUUCGGAAGAACACCAGUGGCGAAGGCGGCUCACUGGCUCGGUACUGACGCUGAGGUGCGAAAGCGUGGGGAGCAAACAGG
rnacentral:misc_RNA from 1 species